rnacentral:rRNA from 1 species
GUAUGGUGCAAGCGUUAUCCGGAUUUACUGGGUGUAAAGGGAGCGUAGACGGCUGUGUAAGUCUGAAGUGAAAGCCCGGGGCUCAACCCCGGGACUGCUUUGGAAACUAUGCAGCUAGAGUGCCGGAGAGGUAAGUGGAAUUCCCAGUGUAGCGGUGAAAUGCGUAGAUAUUGGGAGGAACACCAGUGGCGAAGGCGGCUUACUGGACGAUGACUGACGUUGAGGCUCGAAAGCGUGGGGAGCAAACAGGAUUAGAUACCCUGGUAGUCCACGCCGUAAACGAUGACUACUAGGUGUCGGGGAGCAAAGCUCUUCGGUACCGCAGCAAACGCAAUAAGUAGUCCACCUGGGGAGUCCGUUCGCAAGAAUG